rnacentral:tRNA from 1 species
GGUGGUGCAGCUCAGUGGUAGAGUGCUUGCUUGGCAUGCAUGAAGUACUAGGUUCAGUGCCUGGUACCACGC